AGGCCUCGAGAUUGAGUAGAUAACCUCUGCAGUAAUUGCCUGAACCACUCCUGUUUGCUGGAAAGGUGAGAUCCAUUUUUCAAUUAUCUAUCUGCAGUGACAGCAGCAAGCAACGGAGCUAAGAGGAAGGAGAGAGAGAGAAAGAGAGAGAGGAAAUCCAGCCAACAAGAGCCGUCUGUGUCAAUCCUGGCAAACGGGAGGUAAGCUCAGGCCUGUGCCUUGUGGGAGAGCUGCCUCGUGCCCCCAGGUGAGCUCAGCUGCUGAAGAAUCCCACUCCAAGAACAGCAGAAAUUACUCAUCUCCC
rnacentral:lncRNA from 12 species